rnacentral:rRNA from 1 species
GAUGAACGCUGGCGGCGUGCCUAAUACAUGCAAGUCGAGCGAACAGACGAGGAGCUUGCUCCUCUGACGUUAGCGGCGGACGGGUGAGUAACACGUGGAUAACCUACCUAUAAGACUGGGAUAACUUCGGGAAACCGGAGCUAACACCGGAUAAUAUAUUGAACCGCAUGGUUCAAUAGUGAAAGACGGUUUUGCUGUCACUUAUAGAUGGAUCCGCGCCGCAUUAGCUAGUUGGUAAGGUAACGGCUUACCAAGGCAACGAUGCGUAGCCGACCUGAGAGGGUGAUCGGCCACACUGGAACUGAGACACGGUCCAGACUCCUACGGGAGGCAGCAGUAGGGAAUAUUCCGCAAUGGGCGAAAGCCUGACGGAGCCACGCCGCGUGAGUGAUGAAGGUCUUCGGAUCGUAAAACUCUGUUAUUAGGGAAGAACAAAUGUGUAAGUAACUAUGCACGUCUUGACGGUACCUAAUCAGAAAGCCACGGCUAACUACGUG